rnacentral:rRNA from 1 species
GGGGGUAAAUUAAUUAAAGUAAUAAUUAAAAAAAGUAAUUUUAAUAUUAAAAUAUUUAAUGGGGGUUAAAGUAUUUUAGUAGAAAAAAUUAUAAAAUUUAUAGUAAAUUAGUAUUGUGAAAGAAUUUUGAAAUAUUUGAAAUAUUAAAUUAUUUUAAAAGUAAUUUUUAUUUAUUGUAUCUUGUGUAUCAGAGUUUAUUAAUUUUUUUUUUAAGGUUUAAAAUUUCUCGAAUUUAAAAGAGCUAAUUAAUUAAAAAAGUUAUUGUGGCAAAAAUAUUUUUAAUAAUUAAUUGGAAAUGAAAUGUUAAUCGUUUUUAAAUAUAUCUAGUUUUUUUAGAAAAAAAUUUAAUUUUAAAUUAUUAUUUUAAAUUAAUAAUUAAUUAUUAAUUUAAAGUGAUAGUUUUAUAUUUUAAGGGAUAAGCUUUAAUUUAAAAUUAUAUAAUUUUAUUUAAUUUAAAAUUUGAAAAUUUUAUAAUUUAUAUUGUUAACAAAUUUUAAUUUAUUAUAAAUAAUUUCAUUUAUUCUAAAAUUUAAUUAAUAAUUUAUUUUUUUAUAAAAAAAUAAUUUUUAUUUUUAUAAAAUUAGUUAUAAUGAUAAAAUUAGUAUAUAAUUAUAAUAGAUAAAAUUUAAUUAUAGAUAAAUCAUUUUUAUUAUGAUAAUUAAUAAAAAGGAAUUCGGCAAAAAUUUAUAUUCACUUGUUUAUCAAAAACAUGUCUUUUUGUAAAUAAUUUAAAGUCUAAUCUGCCCACUGAUUAAAUUAAUUAAAGGGCUGCAGUAUUUUGACUGUACAAAGGUAGCAUAAUCAAUAGUCAUUUAAUUGGUGACUUGUAUGAAAGAUUGGAUGAAAUAUAAUCUGUCUCUUUAUUAAAUUGUAGAAUUUAAUUUUUUAAUUAAAAAGUUAAAAUAAAUUAAAAAGACGAGAAGACCCUAUAGAGUUUGAUAUAAAAUUUAAUUAAUAUUAUUUGUAAAAUUUAAAAUUGAAAUUUAUUUUUAAUAUUUUGUUGGGGUGAUAGAAAAAUAAAAUUAACUUUUUUUAUAAUUUUACAUAGAUAAGUGAUUAUUUGAUCCAGUUAUAUUGAUUAAAAGAAAAAAUUACCUUAGGGAUAACAGCGUAAUUUUUUUUUUUAGUUCGAAUAAAAAAAAAAGUUUGCGACCUCGAUGUUGGAUUAAGAUAAAAUUUAAAUGCAGAAGUUUAAAAUUUUGAUCUGUUCGAUCAUUAAAAUCUUACAUGAUCUGAGUUCAAACCGGUGUGAGCCAGGUUGGUUUCUAUCUUUUAAAAAUUAAAAUAUUUUAGUACGAAAGGAAUAAAUAUUUAAAUUAAAUUUUAUAUAGGAAUGUUAUUAAUAAAUAAUUAAUAAAAUUUAUAUUUUUAUU